CCUACGGGGGGCUGCAGUGGGGAAUAUUGCACAAUGGGCGCAAGCCUGAUGCAGCCAUGCCGCGUGUGUGAAGAAGGCCUUCGGGUUGUAAAGCACUUUCAGCGGGGAGGAAGGCGGUGAGGUUAAUAACCUCAUCGAUUGACGUUACCCGCAGAAGAAGCACCGGCUAACUCCGUGCCAGCAGCCGCGGUAAUACGGAGGGUGCAAGCGUUAAUCGGAAUUACUGGGCGUAAAGCGCACGCAGGCGGUCUGUCAAGUCGGAUGUGAAAUCCCCUGGCUCAACCUGGGAACUGCAUUCGAAACUGGCAGGCUAGAGUCUUGUAGAGGGUGGUAGAAUUCCAGGUGUAGCGGUGAAAUGCGUAGAGAUCUGGAGGAAUACCGGUGGCGAAGGCGGCCCCCUGGACAAAGACUGACGCUCAGGUGCGAAAGCGUGGGGAGCAAACAGGAUUAGAUACCCGGGUAGUC
rnacentral:rRNA from 1 species